CUCAAGUGGCGGACGGGUGAGUAACACGUAAGAAUUUGCCUUUAGGAGGGGGAUAACACCGGGACUCUGUCUCUACCGAAAGGGGUGCUAAUACCCCAUAUGCUUUCGAGUGAAAUGGAUUUUUCCGCCUGAAGAGAAGCUUGCGGCUGAUUAGCUUGUUGGUGAGGUAAUGGCUCACCAAGGCGACGAUCAGUAUCUGGUUUGAGAGGACGAUCAGACACACUGGAACUGAGACACGGUCCAGACUCCUACGGGAGGCAGCAGUGGGGAAUUUUCCGCAAUGGGCGAAAGCCUGACGGAGCAAUACCGCGUGAGGGAUGACGGCCUAUGGGUUGUAAACCUCUUUUUUCAGGGAGGAAUCAAUGACGUGUACCUGAAGAAUAAGCAUCGGCUAACUCCGUGCCAGCAGCCGCGGUAAGACGGAGGAUGCAAGUGUUAUCCGGAAUCACUGGGCGUAAAGCGUCUGUAGGUGGUCCAAUAAGUCAACUGUUAAAUCUUGAGGCUCAACCUCAAAAUCGCAGUCGAAACUAUUAGACUAGAGUAUAGUAGGGGUAAAGGGAAUUUCCAGUGGAGCGGUGAAAUGCGUAGAGAUUGGAAAGAACACCGAUGGCGAAGGCACUUUAC
rnacentral:rRNA from 1 species